AUUUUCGAUAAUAUAUGCGUUCAAAUUGCAAUGGUCAACAUGCUUGGUUCCGCCAGCAAGUUGUGCCUUGACAUCUUUAUUUUUAAAAAAUCCAUGCAUUAGCUUCGUUGGCCAUCCAUGCAUUAGCCGGCACUGCCUUUGGAAACGCCACCUCUUCUAGCUCCACACCUUAGGGAGUCUCAUGUUCGACAACACAUGUAUCUUAGGGCCUGCACACGAAAAAAGAACCAUGAGGAAUUGCCGUGAAUUGUUGAAAGCUCCAUAUGCAAUAUGGUUGUAUCAUGUUCAUAUGAGAUAACACGAUGUUGAAUUUACUUGAAAGACAAUAUUAAUUGUAACUGUAGAUUAAACUAAACUUGAACCAGAACCAUAAAAUAGGUGUGCGUGCCUCAAAAGCCCGAGAAGACAACCAUGUGGUUGCAAUGUGCAAUAUCAACAGUACAUCCAUACUGUAGUUCAGCAAUGAUGUUGCCCAUUACUAAUUCUUUCCAAAUCUAGAUUAGGAAAAAAAUCAAGCUAUCUAAGCGACUGAUAUAUGGGUCCAUAGAUCUAGUCAUUAUUGUCCAUAUGAGCAAAUCAGGCAUUACGACAGAAGCACACUGUAGGAGGCAAAUUAUUUAGUAAACACGGCAUGGGUUUAACAGCAGGAUUAUCAUCCGAGGAAUUAAAGCAAGUUUUCAAUGGGAUAAAAGCAUAUAAACCUUACACAUUAUCAAAAUUUACAUGCAAAGAUUAAAAUUGAUAUGUGAACUGAAAUCUUGGAGAGCACAAAUAUAUCAACAUGAGUAAUGGAAUAAAGGUACUAUUCUGUUGUGCAAAUGGAAACAUUAGAGAAAAUUAAUUGCUCAUGUGCGAUAGAGAGAAGUGUUAAGUACAUAGGAGUUUAGGAAUAUAACAUCAUCAAGGAGAUAGAAGGAGCGUGUUGAAGUAAUGGAAAUUUGUCAUGAAAAAGUUAUCUCUUUAAGGCAAGCACAUUCUGGGGUACUUAUGUCACCAUUUGGAAAGGCGGGGACAUGAGCGUCUCGUUCCAUCCACGCUGGAAGUCCCAUGAGUCCCAGUUGACCUGCACUCACCAAGUAGUAUGCACAUGUCCAGUCUCUCUUGCAGAACUCAACCUUCUCCUGUAACAUGAACAUAACUAUGCUGGAGGUCAUCAACAACAACGACCAGCAGCAUCGGUGCAGCACGAGCUAGGUAAUGACCAUGGACAUGUUGACCCACUGUCCGCACAGUUUCCUGACAGCGCACAUGCCUGCAUGUAAUCUAGCAUGAGGGUGCCAAGCAACGAAUUAAAGCUAUUGUGUCACCAAAGGAGCAACCAGAAACUAUAACUGCUCAUGGCAGAGCAGCAAGCAUAAUAGUGUUUACAAAUUACAAAGAUAUAUAAUAGCAAGAGGAAGCAGGAAUUUUUAGUCUGAUCUCUCUUACAUUUCCUGCUUAAUAAAAAGAAGCAAAUGUAACCCAAUAUGUUUAAUUGGUAACUGAAAGUAGGCAUCAUAGGUUAAUUAUCAACAUAGAUUCAUGCAUAAUCGAAACAUAAUUUGAGCAGAUAAAACAUGAUGUCACACUUUGUGUUGGAAAUAGACUUAAAUCUGUAGCUUGUAAUAUUCAUC
rnacentral:lncRNA from 1 species